GCUGAUACUUACUUCCCCAUGGGCAGCAUUCCCUAGCACCCCAGGGGAUUGCUUCCUAUUGGGCCACCCCUAUGGGUAGUUUCUCAGUGAGCUCUGCAGCAUGGCAUCUUUCUGUGGGCAGCUUCACCUAGCAACAAGGAAGUAGUUUCCCAGCUCACCAUCUCUGUGGGAGGCUUUGCAGUGAGUUCUGAGGUACAACACCUUGUUGAGGGCUUCCUUCAGCAUCCCAGAAGGCAGCUUCUCAAGAAUCCUGCAUUCUAAAGGAUCUAGUCUGGAUGCCAGAAGCUGUGUAUAGGAUGAGAGCCUGGUGGACCUGAUUGACCUCCUGUUGUUCAGUUCAGUUCAGAGACUGAAAAUCAGGAUUUGUGCUGGAGAGUCUUUGGACUGUGUGUGAAAGUAUCUGAAGGUCCAUGACAAUUUGAAAGGUAAACAGUAAUGGACUUUCAUAGAUCUAUAGUAUUUGCUCUUGACCUUGGCUGAAAUUGUAAAACAGGCUGCCACAUCUCUGUAAGUACUUUUCUCUUUUUGCAUACAAAUGAAUUGGUUUUUUGUAAGUGUCUAUUCAUAACUGUAGCCCUUUUGCAUCUGUGUCUAGUGACUUUUAUGGGAAAACUUUUGGGGGUUAAUUGAUUAUAGGAAUUUGUCAUUUGUGCACAAAUGUCUGAAGGGUUUAAUGUCUAAUUUAACAGAAGGCACAUGAAAAAGGUGCAGGAAUCGAAGGCAUGAGAUACACCUGAAAGUGGUGGAGCAAUGAAUCUGAACAGGAUGAUGGAUUGAAAGUGCUCAAAAGAGGCAGCUAGGAUCCUGUAUUCAUGUCCUACCACUGCAGCCAGGGAAAGAUCCUCCCACAUCUAUCAGAAGACUGGAGGAUUAUGUCUGGAGAGAAUGAAUUCUAGGGAUGCUCAGGCCCAAAUGAAGGUUUGAGCACACAAUGAAAUGAGUUGAUAUUGACUGUUGGGAACCAGAGUUCUCAGUGGAUGAAGAGACACAGAAAAAUAAAAUGGAGGAAGGCAAAGAAGAUGUCUGAAGAGAUGGAUUGGAAUUGGAAGCAUUAGUAUGAACCAUGAUUCUAAAAUAGUUAUAUAUUGAUGUCUAUGCUUGUAUAUAUCCAGAAGUUUAUGUAUGUAUGUUUAAAUGUGUGUGUAAUAUAUAUGUAUACAUAUAUGUACACAUGUAUAUAUUUCCUAGCUUUGUCUACUGAAAGGGUCCACAAGCAAAGAUCUUGUAGCAGAUCUUGGUCUCUAAGAUUGUUCCCUGCUAAAAAAAAAACAGGAUCCGCUGGAGAAAUUGCUGAUUCCAGUGCUGUAGCAGAAAAGGUAAUACAUGAUCCUAAAAUCAGUAAUCUCAUUCUGUUAGAUUACUGUGGGGUUCAGUAUGGUAGCCACUAGUCUCUUGUGCUAUUUAUUUAUUUAUUUUUAUUAUUAUGCUUUAAGUUCUAGGGUACAUGUGUACAGCAUGCAGGUUUGUUGCAUAUGUAUACAUCUGCCAUGUUGGUGUGCUGCAUCCAUUAACUCGCAAUUUACAUUAGGUAUAUCUCCUAAUGCUAUCCCUGCUCCCACCCCCAACCCCAUGUCAGGCCCCAGUAUGUGAUGAUCCUCAUCCUGUGUCCAAGUGUUUUCAUUGUUCAAUUCCCACCUGUGAGUGAGAACAUGCAGUGUUUGGUUUUCUAUCCUUGCGAUAGUUUGCUCAGAAUGAUGGUUUCCAGUUUCAUCCAUGUCCCUACAAAGGACAUGAACUCAUCCUUUUUUAUGGCUGCAUAGUAUUCCACGGUGUAUAUGUGCCACAUUUUCUUAAUCCAGUCUAUCACUGAUGGACAUUUUGGUUGGUUCCAAGUCUUUGCUAUUGUGAAUAGUGCCACAAUAAACAUAUGUGUG